rnacentral:rRNA from 1 species
AGAGUUUGAUCCUGGCUCAGAUUGAACGCUGGCGGCAUGCCUUACACAUGCAAGUCGAACGGCAGCACGGACUUCGGUCUGGUGGCGAGUGGCGAACGGGUGAGUAAUAUAUCGGAACAUACCUUGUAGUGGGGGAUAACUAUCCGAAAGGAUAGCUAAUACCGCAUACGCUCUAAGGAGGAAAGCGGGGGAUCUUCGGACCUCGUGCUAUAAGAGUGGCCGAUAUCUGAUUAGCUAGUUGGUGAGGUAAAGGCUCACCAAGGCGACGAUCAGUAGCUGGUCUGAGAGGACGACCAGCCACACUGGAACUGAGACACGGUCCAGACUCCUACGGGAGGCAGCAGUGGGGAAUUUUGGACAAUGGGGGCAACCCUGAUCCAGCAAUGCCGCGUGAGUGAAGAAGGC